rnacentral:lncRNA from 1 species
AGUAUAAAUAGAAAAAAUAGCAGAACUUGACCUGAUAGCAAGAACAGACAAAAUAACCAAAACAAUGAUGAUAGUAGUAGCAGAGGUAGUCACAAUGAUACUGUAAAUGAGGAAAAACGAAAAAUAAAAAAUAAAGACAUCAUAAACGUCUCUAAUUAUGACAAAAAAAAAAAAAAUAAUAUAUCUGUUAAAAAUAAACAAGUUCAGAAAAAAGUGAAUGAAAAAGAAAAAGAUCAUUCACUAUGUAGUAGUACAUCUUCAGAAUAUAACGAAAAAAAUAAAAGUAGUGAUGAUGACAAUGACGAUGAUAAAAAAGAGGUAGAGAAACAUACUGCUCGUAAAGAAAAAAAACAAAAUAAAAAUAAAACUCAUAAACAUCGAACAGGUAGUAGUGAAAGCAUAUCAUCUAGUGACAGUCAAAAACUGUUGAGAAUAAACAAACAUGAACAUCAGGAUAAUGUCAAAAAUCGAGGAAUAAGUACAGAAAAACAACAACCACUACAACAAUUUACUGGAAAAGAAAAAAAAAACACACAUAACAGAAGCAAAAGUAACAGUAUACAAGACAAAAAAACACAUAAAGAUAACCAGUUAAGUAAAAAAAAAAACAGACACAGUAGUUCUAAUAAAGAGGAUAAUAAAAACAAUGCUCGUAGCAAUAGUGGUAGUAUAAGUAGAAGUAGUGUUAGCAUACGCAAGAGCAGUGAUAUCAUUCGUAGUAGAAUAAGUAGCAUACGUAGUAGUAGUAACAGCAGUAGUAGUAAUAGCAGUGGUAGUAAUAGCAGUGGUAGUAGCAUACUCAACAGUAAUAACAGACGUGGUAUAAGUAAUGUCAACCGAAGAGACAGACACAGAUAUAGACACAGACGUAAAAAUAUAAGCAGAAUUAGUAGUAGUAGUAGUAGUAGUAGUAGAUAUAACGACUUAAGAAACAAGGAUAAACAUAGAACACGUAAACACAAAUCACAUAAGCACGAUUAUAAAAUAGAUAAAAAAAAAAAAGAUGAAUACACAUAUGAAAAAGAGAAGCAACGACAAAACAGAGAUGAGUGCAUUAAUAGGGAAAAAAAUAAAUAUAACUUACACUAUAAUGAUAAUAAGUUUUAUAAAUAUAGUAAUGCUCAUUAUGUUAGUGGUAAGACGCACUAUGGUGGGGGUAGAAACAAAUUUAAUACUGGUAAUAUGCAUCGUUAUGAUGAUAACACAUACCGUUAUCGUGAUAAUAGACAUGGCUAUGAACGGACUUCACAUUAUUAUCCCACAGAAACACACAAUAACAGAUCAUAUGGUAAGAAUUCGUAUGAAUAUAACAACAAUAACGCACAUAAUGAUUAUAGUAACAGUAGGAGACCUUACAGAAAAACGUAUUUAAAAAAUAACUGCUACUACGAAACUGUUGAAGAAAUAAAAAAAAAAAAUAGAUUAUAUGAUGACGAUAAACAGAUAUGUGAAGAUGUAAAGGUGGCACAUAAAAACGUAACAUAUACAA